rnacentral:rRNA from 1 species
GCGCAGCAGUCGAGAAACCUCCGCAAUACACGAAAGUGUGACGGGGCCAUCCCGAGUGCCGUCCGCUGAGGACGGCUUUUCCCCAGUGUACACAGCUGGGGGAAUAAGGAGAGGGCAAGCCUGGUGUCAGCCGCCGCGGUAAUACCAGCUCUCCGAGUGGUGGGGACGCUUAUUGGGCCUAAAGCAUCCGUAGCCGGCUGGGCAAGUCCUCCGUUAAAUCCAACGAUUCAACUCGUUGGCUGGCGGGGAUACGUGUCCAGUCGGUUGGGGGGC